rnacentral:lncRNA from 1 species
AAACAAACCCAUGUUGUAUAAAAUUAUGCAACAAAAUCUUGAAAUUAACUUGUACGUAAAUUUUAUAUAUCUAAAUUUUCUUUCUAUACUCCACAUUUUAAGUUUAAAUAUGUUUGGUGAAUUUCCACGUUGCGCGUAUCAUGAAUAACUAAGUAAUAACUUUUAUAUACAAUUUAGUUUGCAUAUGAUCUGAUGAUUUUUUUUUGUCUGGUAGAUAUUUUUUGACAAAUAUAUUAGCUAGAUAUUAC